rnacentral:snRNA from 1 species
AAGGUUUCCUGGUAGUUAAUCAGUUUGUGAAAUGACCCCUGCAAUUUCUCCAAAUGCGGGAAACUUGACUGCAUGAUUUGUGGUAGUGGGGGAUUUUGUUUGUACUCCCUCCUU